rnacentral:rRNA from 1 species
GUCUACGGCCAUACCACCCUGAACGCGCCCGAUCUCGUCUGAUCUCGGAAGCUAAGCAGGGUUGGGCCUGGUUAGUACUUGGAUGGGAGAAAGCUCUGCAGGUAGUUCUGAUGCAGGGU